rnacentral:pre_miRNA from 1 species
UCCGUCUUAUUUGAAAAAUUUAUGAAAAAAAUAAAAAAAAUAGUCACACAUAAAGUACUAUUCAUGUUUUAUCAUCCAAUAACAAUGAAAAUACUAAUCAUAAAAACAUUUUAAAUAAGAUGAACGGUCAAACAUUGGAUAUGAAAAAUGCAAAACUGCACUUAUU